UACUGCAUAUGAAUUUACGAGGCAUUAAUCCAUGCUCUGUACACGCUUAUUGGCCUAUAACUAAUUGGACUUGUUAAACCAAUUGGUAUAACCACUUCCUAAACACUGACCGAGCAAAUGAUUAGUUAAAAGACAGCAUCAUACCACAUUCUGACUUCACUUAUAAUACGAGAACUUAAUUAACUAAUAGUUUUGGUGGUUUGGACAAUUCAGUAUCCUCUACUUCUGUAGCUGGCUUCAAUUAGUGGGCUAGAUAAGCCGUUGGGUAGAGGCAUAUAAUCCUACCAUACAAAUCUGCAGAUUCAUAUAUAUAAAUCCUUCAAAGAAGCUUGAAAGAGUAAUAUCUGUCAUCUUGUCAAGCAAAUGAAUGGAAGAACGAUUGCUUUGAUUUUAUUCGUCUGGGCUCUCCUCACGGUGAUAACUCCAACACUUGUUCGCAUGUCUGCAUCAGCUAAACUCUUGGAUGGUAUUCAAACAAGAGGAAUGAAGAGCAGAUUGCUGUCCAGAAGGGCACUCAUGGAUACAAGAUUUAAUGAAUUGCCAUCACAUGAGCCAGAACCAGUACAAGGACCUGCACCAGGACCAGCACCAGGUGUGUUUUGGCGAUCCAAACUUGGUUUAUGCUCGAUGUGCUAUUGCCCAGAAGUGAAUGGGAGGCCAUGUCUCUGUUGUUCGCAGUAGAUGUAUGUUUUUUGGGGCCUUAUAUUGAAGAUUAGCACGGGAUGCCUAAAGUCCGAAUAUGACAGUCCCGAGCAGCAGAUGUGAACUGUUUGCAUGAAUCUGUCAAGUUAGCGUUAUUAUCUGGAAGCGUACAUUGUAGAUUUGUCAUUCACUCCUCUCUUAGCAUGUUUAGUGUUAAUAAAAAUUACUAAGAGUUUGAUUAGGUGAACAUGUACAUGCAGGAUGACAUUUAGUAAUGAGGACUCAUCUUCUUACC